CAAAUUGAUAGGUUUAAACUUGGUGUCUUCACUAGACAGACAGAGAGGGGCAGGAAGAAAAUGAGAGAGAAAGGAUGAAAGUGAGAGAGGUAGGAAGAGAGUGGAAGACAGAUGGAGACAGAGAUGGAGAGAGAGAGAGAAACAGAGAGAGAAAGACAGUAGUGCAAAUAUACUUAGACUUGAGUAUUUCAACAACUCUUCUCUUCCAACUUGUUAGGCAAUCAUAUCUACCUACGGGGAAGGAUGGCCAGCCACACAGAAGGUUGAUUUUUACUAAGGAGGAGAAGGAGGCCAUCCUGACAGAGAUGCAUGUGGUCAUUUUUGGAGUGAAGCGCAUGAAUGCCAAAAUCAACCUACUCUUCUUCUGACGUGAAAUUGUCAAGGAAUGUGGAUAGCUGGGCAAGUCAGUACCCUGUCUAGCCUGCCAGAAGUUUUAGAGGGUGAAGACUGUGGCACUGGAGAUAAAGCCCAUCAAAGUUGUUUCACCAUGGCACAUGAUCGGUUCACCGUGGCACAUGAUCGGAAUGGAAACAGCUGGUGUCUUCCAGCGACCGGUCACUUUCCAAGUGGGUGGAGGCAAUGCCCAUUAAGGACGAGACUAGCGAGACCACCUACAAGGCGAUAGUGGACUAUCUUCAGCACCCACGGUUCUCCUGAGGUCAUCUUGAGUGACCGAGGUCAUGAACGUUGGAACAAGGUUUGGUGGAUGGACAAACCAGACCAUCAAGUCCCUUGAUACCAGGAAUGCUGGGAGAACAACCUGAAGAUCUCUGAAACCCCACCUGAUGUGGUGGAAGUUGUCGAUCCAGAUUAGAACGCCUUCGAGUACCACUUUCAGGCACAGACUGAGAAGGAUAUUGUUACCACUUCUAGGAGUAGUGGGUGCGGAGUCAGGCGCAGAGAGCAGAGGGUAAAGGACAACUGUAUUUAUUCCAGAGAAAAGUAGGUCACGCCAAAACAACCUCCAUAGUUUCUAUUGAAAGUGAUGUAAUUUCAGAGAACUUAUGAUAACUGAGCAUGAAGUAAGUGUUUGAGAACCUAUUUACAAAUGGCAGAGAGAGGUUGCAGCAUCACUCUUCCCAUAAUAUGUAGGCCUGAGCCUAAAUUACAGAAAGGGAAGGAAGUUGCCCUGUACAACCUCUUUAAAAUAGGCCACUGUACUCACUUUUUACUGGUAAUAGCAUUUUCAUUUUUAAUAGCUUCUAUGACAUGAGAAAAUGUGUGUGCGCAUAUGUGAAAAUGCACAUCCAGUAUUCAUACCCUUAUAUGGAUGCACAUAAUGUAUAUUAUAAAUAUGAGGCACUGGGAAAUUAUUUGUUGUUGUGUUAUACUUGAUCAAUAUCUGUUGAAAUUGAAGUGAUGUCUAGACUGUUUUCACCGAAGUGCAGCUUCAGACUCUCUAUUUAUACUUCAUCACUGAGAUUCUAUUUUGACUCAGAGACCGAACGACCCAAUGCUUGUCUGAACACUCUGAUUCUCUUUUUAUCCCAUUGUCUCCUCACUUCAGCUGAGAAAGUGGAAGUCCUAUAUUAGAGCUCACUCUACUUCGCUGACCUCCACCCAAAAUGGUUUUGUAACUGCCUCAGGUCCUGUUCACACCCAGUAUCCAUAGAGAAAUACAUACUCACCUUUUAUCUGACUCGAAUAAAGUAUCUGUAUGAUGUGUGUUCAACUUGAGACCAAACGGAUUGAGAGUUAGAGAUGGAAUGCUAAUUGCAGAGGUCGAGUGAUCAAUGAACCCACAGUAUUCACCCCAAAGCCCACAUUUGAGUAUUUUUGUAGGCCCAUGUCCCAAAUGGCACCCUAUUCCCUUUAUAGUGCACCACUUUUGACCAGGGUCUAGGUCCAAAGUAGUGCACUAUGUAAAAAAUAGAGUGCCUAUAGGAUGCAGAUUCAGUUUAUAACCAGGUGUGUGUCAGGUACAAGGUUAUUAUAGUAAACUAAAACUGAACUAAAGAUGAAAAAAAAAAUGUAAACUGAAAUAAAAUAAUUAACAGACCCGUUUGAAACUAUUAUAUUUGACUCCAAAAAGAACAAAAGUAAAAUAAAAACCAUCAUGAAUUAUGUUUUUUCUUUUUUUUCUAAAUUUUGGGCAAAAAUCAAAUGGGGUUUUCAAGUUUCUGAAUCUGCCAGGUAAAUUCUGACAGGAGAUGUCGAUGUUUCAAAAAGGCUAGUUACUAGUUAUCACCAGCUAACAGGGAAGACAUCCACUACUUUGUGUCCCUAACACUAAAACUGAAACAAAAUAAUAUAGAAACUAAAUAUAUACAUUUUUAUAGAACUCAAACUAAAGAAAAACUAGUAAAUCAUGUAUGAAAACUAAUUGAGACUAAACUGAAUUUGAAAUAAAAAUCAAAAAACUAACAGAAAUAAAAAUGAAUAUAAAACCACAAAACUAUAAUAACAUUGGUCACGCCCCGUCUCAGUCAGCCCACAGUCAGCCCACAGCUACAGUAGAAACUGAGACAGGACUGCUAACAGACAGUAGGUAUAGAGGGACACUGAUGUUUCAGUGUGAACAUGCUGUGUUGACAGAAAUU